AUGAAAUUUAUUUCUUGUUGUCUCAUUCUGACCCCCCCUUCAUUUGGAGGGGAGAGUGUGAGGCAUCAGAAAACCCCACCGCCCUGUGGAACUGUGGGAGUGCUUCGGCCCUCUUGGGCCGCAUUUAUGCUGAAAGCAAUUGUUGUCUGAACUUUUGAGAAAUUUGA
rnacentral:misc_RNA from 1 species